rnacentral:tRNA from 1 species
GUUAACUUAGUUUAUGCAAAAUAUUUCUUUGUGGUAGAAAAGAUUAAGUUGAUCU